AGAAGUUGCAUUCUGAGAGUAAGACCUGUUCCGAUCCUAUCUGGUGGGGGCCACAGUCAACCAGUCUGUUUUCUCAUUUUCCAUCAGAACAUCAUAAUGCACCUUGAAGUUGUUGUGUUAAGCCUCAUACUGCUUCUAACAGGUAAGUGAGCAGGUGGGCUGGGGGGUUGGGUGGGUACUUGGUAUGGUGAAGGAAGAUAGUUGUUCUUUGCAGUUUCUUAGGUGGUUAUGGGUUAUCUGAUGAGCAGAACCAGGAUGAAAUCUUACUCCAAAGAAAUUGCUUAAUGGCUAUCAAUUACAAAAUCGAUUGCUAAGUGAGCAGGACAAGAUGCAGAAACAUAUUUCACAUGCUGCCAUUUGUGCUUGAACAAAAAGAGGGGCGGUAGAUGUAUAUGCAUAGCCAAAUGUGUGUAAGAAAUAGUAAUUACCCUGGGGUGUGGGGGGGCUGGGCAGAGGAGGUGGGGAUGGGGUAGAAGGGAGAGUUAGCCUGUCAUUACUUCCUUUUUUGUCUUUUGGAGUUUUUAAACAAUGUUCACUUAUUUCAUUUAAAAAUAAAUGCUUGCCUGUGGCUCAUGCCUGUAAUCCCAUUGAUUUGGGAGACUGAGGCAGGAGGACACACAUUCAAGGCCAACUUCAGCAAUUUAGGGAGAUCCUCAGCAACAUGGCUAGCUCCUGUCUCAAAAUAAAAGCAUAAAGAAGACUGAGGAUAUAGCUCAGUGGGAAAGCAUAAACAAAUUAAAAAAAAAACAAAUAAAAUAUUUUAAUUCAAAGCUUUCUGUACACAGGGCGAAAGUUUUGAAUAAACAUUUCCUAAAUUUUAAAGACUAAUCCUGGAGGGUGGGAUUAUGGGAGAAAGUUCUUUUUAAAAAUUAUAUACUUCUAUAAACUAAUUAUGACAUCAUGUGCUAUAUUUGCAAAAAUCAUUAGGCAAAAUCAAGAGAGUUUCAGAGCUGGGUUGUAGCUCAGUGGUAGACUGCUUGCCUAGUAUGUGUGAGACACUGGGUUUUAUUCUCAGCAUGGCAUAUGCAUACAUAAAAAAACUAAAGGUUCAUCAACAACUAAAAAAAAUUCAGUGAGAAAUAUACCCUUAUUUUAUAUAAUAAUGAUCUUUUUUUUUUUUUUUCUCUCAGAAAAUUUCCUACUCACAGCCUGGUCCUGCCUGUUAGUUAGUAAAUCUCAAAUUAGUUCUCAUUUAAAUAUUUUCCAAUUCUGUGGCUGCCUUGUGUUAGUAAGCCUUGCUUAGUUGCUGGGCUGUCAUCAACUGAUGACAAGAUCCCUGCUUAAAAGGCUUUUGGAUUGAUCCUAACAUUCAUGUAAAACUCAGCAGCUCCUGGAAGUAUUGUAACCCCAUUUUCAAAAAUCAAUUUCUGAAGAGUCUAUUAGACUUCAGCCCUCAAGCCAACAAUGUUUCAAACAAACAUCAGUCCUGCUUUUGUGUAGGAGAAGUGGAGUAGUGAGGAGGUGAUUUCAUCUGCAAUAACAGUUUUCAAAGGCCAUGAAAAUUAAAACAUUGAAAUUUAAGUGCAAUAGAAUUAAUUCUUUUUUUUUUUAAAAAAAAGUAUUUCAAUGGAUACAAGUGAAUUUGGAAGAAAGAACUGAGGCACUGGAGUGGGAAGGAGACUUUUCUCUAGGCUUCAAUAUCCUUGGUGUUAUUUUCAUUUUUAAAAACCACAAGUUUACAUUGCGUAUUUAAAAAUCAAUAAUAUGCAGGUACCUGGUGAACACAGGGUAAAAUACAUACAUGCAAUACUUGAGUAUCAUUUGGUUAAAACCUUUUGAAAGCAAUUUGGCCAUCUUCAUCAAAAGAUGAAAAUAUUCCUUCCCUUUAUCCUGGUCAUUUCUCUCUUAGAAAUUUAUCCCCCUAGGGAACUUAAAUACAGUAAAGGUUUAAUAGAAAGAUUUUGUCACAUUACUUACAAUGGUAAUAAUGAGGAAGAGCUUGAAAAUCAUCCAAUGCAAAUAAAUUGUAUUGUCUACAAAUAUAUCCAUUAAACAAAACAUUUAUUUGAAGAAUAUGCUAAAAACUGUUUAUAGUAUCAAAAUUUCAAAAUCAAUCUAUAAAGCCAUGCCUACGAAACAAACUGUAAAAAGAAACAUGAGAAUAAAUAAAUUAAAAAGUGAAAAAAAGAUUUUAGGAAAAUAUCAAGACCUCAUUCUCAGUUUCUGCUCCCUGUGUUUCAGAUGCUGUGGUUUCUUAUACUCAAGUGAGUGGAGUGGUGGGUCAUCGGGUCAUUAUUCCCUGUAGCUACUCAGUCACCAGUGGAGUCACAUCCAUGUGCUGGGGCCGAGGGGCAUGUCCUACAUCUAAAUGCUCAAAUGAACUCAUCUGGACUGAUGGAUCUCAAGUCACCUUCCAGAAACACAGGCGUUAUAAGCUGGAGGGGAACCUUUUGCAAGGGAAUGUGUCUUUGACCAUAGAGAAUGCAGCUAAGACUGAUAGUGGCCUAUAUUGUUGUCGAAUUGAGCAUAGCGGGUGGUUUAAUGAUAUGAAACUCACCUUAUCCUUGGAGAUUAAACCAGGUAAGCUUG
rnacentral:lncRNA from 1 species